rnacentral:rRNA from 1 species
AACGAACGCUGGCGGCAUGCCUAACACAUGCAAGUCGAACGAUUGCCUUCGGGCGAUAGUGGCGCACGGGUGCGUAACGCGUGGGAAUCUGCCCUUAGGUGCGGUAUAACAGCUGGAAACGGCCGCUAAUACCGGAUGAUAUCGCGAGAACAAAGAUUUAUCGCCUGAGGAUGGGCCCGCGUUGGAUUAGGUAGUUGGUGGGGUAAAGGCCUACCAAGCCGACGAUCCAUAGCUGGUCUGAGAGGAUGAUCAGCCACACUGGGACUGAGACACGGCCCAGACUCCUACGGGAGGCAGCAGUGGGGAAUAUUGGACAAUGGGCGCAAGCCUGAUCCAGCAAUGCCGCGUGAGUGAUGAAGGCCCUAGGGUUGUAAAGCUCUUUUACCCGGGAAGAUAAUGACUGUACCGGGAGAAUAAGCCCCGGCUAACUCCGUG